rfam:Musa acuminata subsp. malaccensis Doubled-haploid Pahang (DH-Pahang) genomic chromosome, chr6
UUCUCUUCCGAGACAUCCUAUAAAAUUGAAAUGAUACAGAGAAAAUUAGUAUGAUUCUUGCAUAAGGAUGACACGCACAUGCAGAUUCUAGAUCUUGUG